CUGGCUUGGUCAAGAUUUAUCUAGGCGCGUUCUCACUCGCGAAAAAAAAAUGGUUGUUUGAUUGUAGUGCCCCCUGGUGGCCAAAGGCAGUGCAAAGGCUGUCGCUGAAAAGAAAGCGAAUACAGAACCCAUCAAGCUCCUAAUUGCCUAGGUUUAUAGGUCUUUUCCCAGGUUGUACGCCUGAGGGUAAUACUAGUGGCUCUCUCUCUGUGGGCUGUAUACCAUGUUGGUGAGCUCAGUUUUAUAAAGGGAAAGUUUGCUUUGUAAAACGGCUGUCCCAAAGAGUUACGGGGUCCUGGAACACCCACCAAAGGACCUCACUGUUCACUGCCAUCUGGAGUUGAGGAACCCAUGACCUCCAGGUGAUUCUGGUGCACGCAAAGUUUGGAGAGUCCCACACUAGAGCGAUGCUUAAUAAACCUGCGCUGUUUCCAAUGGUAACCAGAUAGAGGAAAAGUGAGAUUGAAAUCCAGGUCCAUUGAUCCCAAAGUCCAUCUUUGGCUACAAAUCAACAAAUCACACCUGGCCUCUCCUGAAGGGAAAACAUAUUGAGGAACAAAUUAAACAACACUGUGGAAGGGGCAACAAGCACACUCCAGACAGGAAAACUGCAGCACAACCAACCUGGUUUAUUCAGCAGAAAAAUGCCAGGAAAACAAAACAAACCAAAAAUAGGGUGGCGAAACAUGUAAAAAAAUACUUGCAGUAUGUAAACAUAAUACAAGCUAUGGCUCUUUAAUUAAAAAAAAAUUAAUUGUAAAAGCAUAAACAAAUUGAUAAAUUGUAAAAAAUUAAUUGUAAAAUUAAUUGUAAAGUUAAAAAAUUACUUGUAAAAUUAAUUGUAAAUUUAAUUUUAAAAAAUUAACUGGAAGUUUGAAAACUG
rnacentral:lncRNA from 1 species